UCAUGCUUAGUUCACAAUUCCACAUGUAUUAAAAAUGGAGCAAUUGGAUUCCUUAAAAGAAUAUCCCAACAUAAUUCGUCUUACAUCAACAUUUUGCCGCCUUGUUAAUGACCUUGGUACAUAUAAGUGCUGCAGAUUGGAGAUAUGCUGCAGAGCAGUUUGUGAAGAAACUUCCUGAUAAAGUUAUUGUACACCGGAAAUUGGAAGAGAGGGACCUCUUUCUUUGUGCCUCUAGCGUCUUGUUUUGCAAGGCGAUGAUUGAGGCCUCCCUGUUCUCUUCACUGGAGCACUCAAGGUCAUUCACAAGAGACCUAUGGUUCAACAAAUCGCCCAUUCAUUCAUGGCUGGACACAUUCUCAGCACACAGGCACUCAUCUGAUGCUAUUACUAUUGCGCGUGGGGAUGUGUCUGCUCGUAUAAAGGCUGCUUGGCUUUAUUUCUACCUGCCAUAGCAAAUCUAGAUGUUUUAUUAUCUUUAAUUAAAAGGCACUUUCGAAAGGGGCUAACAUAUUUGAAAAAAUGGACAUUGCAGGGGUUGCUUCAAUACUUAACAAAGUACCGCAAGAAAUUUGGCUUCGGGUUCGUCACUAGCACGAACCGUACCUUUCGCAACAAAUACUGGAGGAGGUGCAGGUUCAUCUCCUCCACGUCCGUCUCUGCGAUUUGCCAGCGUCCUGGAGCCCCUUCUCUCACUGCCCGAUCCCCCGGUGGUUCCUCUCUCACCCUCACUCUAGUCAUCCCGCUGCAGUUGGGAAAGAUGCCUCGGGUAGGUCGCUUCACGAAGAAAGCCCGUGUAGACACAGCAUGUCAGUAGCCUCAAGUAGGAGGUCAUGCGGCUUCAACUUCGUAGAGAGCGGGCUGCCCAAUUCCGCCGCCCAGUGGGAGUAGUGCCCCCACAUCCUCGUCUUUACGGCCCUUUCGUCCGCCCCGAACCGAACCACUGCCUGCUCCACAGGCUUCCAUGAAUGAUGUUCAAAACUCGGAGCCGGACGCCGAAGAGGUAGAUCCAGAGGCAGAUGAGGUAGAUUCUUUUGACCAACAUGUGGAUAACCUUUUUGCUGCACAGGAUGCUCAGAAGCGCAAGGGACGCAAGACCACAGAAUUUUGGAUGUUAAAACAAUUGAAUCUGAUGGCACAAUCAAACAGGUCAAACUGAGUGUGAAGGAAGCUAUGAAGCCACCUAACAAAAGAAAGGUCGUACUCAGGUUUAACAGUGUACUGCAACCAGUUGGGGAUGAAGCAGGUCUACUGAGCGGUGUUAUGGGACUGCUAGGAUCUGACUACACCAAAUUCCCAAUCUGCGAGAGGGACUGGAGAAAGGUUCGCACCAAAAACAAGGUCUAUAAUGAAAUAGUAAAGGAAAUGUUCCAUUUUGAAGAAGAUAGUAGAGGAAUUAUAAAGCAUAUAAUAUUCAAAAUGCUAGGAAGGGCUUGGAAGGAAACGAGGAACAAAUUAUACCAUCACUGCUAUGACCCCGAACUUUCACUUGCAGCAAAUAUUGAAAACCGCCCAGAUGGAAUUACUGCAGACCAUUAGAGAAAGUUUCUCGAUUAUCGCAAUAGCGAAGAGACACAGGAGAAGUGUAAGAAAAAUGCCGAGAAUCGAUCAAAGCAGCUUUACACCCACACCGGCGGAUCGAAAAGCUUGGCAAGGCUCAGAGAAGAAGAGUCAGAACGACAAGGGAGGACAGUUAGUAGAGGAGAGUUGUAUCUCUUAACGCACAAAAGAACUAAUGGCUCCUAUAUCCAUGAUGCGGCUCGCGCUAUUGGAGAAAGAAAUGAGGCUAUUGAUCAAGGCGAUGAAUCUUCUAGACUGUUAUCCCAGAAUGAUUCGCUUGCUCAAGCUCUCGAAAAAGAGCGCCCGGGUAAGGUGCGUGGCAUGGGAUUGGGGCCGACUUCUAGUCAAGUCUUCGGUAUGAAUUCCCAUCAGCCGAGCAAUGGUUUUGAAAGGGAGGAGACCCAAAGGGUGCUGCUUGAACUACAAUCAGAGUUGGCAGCAGAGAAAUUAAAAAGGAAGGCAGUGGAGGAUGAAGUAGCAGCUGAGAAGACCAAAAGACAGGCAGUGGAGGAUGAAGUAGCAGCUGGGAAGGUCAGGAUGUAGGCAAUGGAGAGUGCUUUGUUAUGUCUACUUCAAGGGCAAGGUAGGAAGCUGCCAACAGACGUCGCCACAUGGAUGAGUGCGUUGGAGGGACAGAAUAGAAAGUAGAUCUUAGGAUUGUGGAACCUUUUCUUCUUUCAGAUAUACACUUUUAUUUUGUUGAUUAUGCAACUCUUAGUAAGGAGUACACUUUGUUGAUAUUCGGAUAAUUAUAUUGAUUAAAUUAAUGGUUUUGCUAUUGUC